rnacentral:lncRNA from 1 species
UUCAUAUUUGCGAACGGGUGCUUUGACAGUUAGAGUUCUCAUAUUUAUGUAAGAUGUUGUUUGCAGUUUCAAUAACACAUCGACAAAAAACAAAAAUGUUAGGAUGGCUAGCAUAAAACUACUCAUUCAGGUGGGCAUGAAAAGACUCAGCACCAUUUGUUGUUUUCUUUUCCUCAGGGCCUGGAGGUGAUGCCCAAAUGGUUGGUGGAAAUCCUAACCAGAGUCUAGUAUAUUGUAGAUAUAA